rnacentral:rRNA from 1 species
UCCGUUGGUGAACCAGCGGAGGGAUCAUUACCGAGUUUACAACUCCCAAACCCCUGUGAACAUACCAAUUGUUGCCUCGGCGGAUCAGCCCGCUCCCGGUAAAACGGGACGGCCCGCCAGAGGACCCCUAAACUCUGUUUCUAUAUGUAACUUCUGAGUAAAACCAUAAAUAAAUCAAAACUUUCAACAACGGAUCUCUUGGUUCUGGCAUCGAUGAAGAACGCAGCAAAAUGCGAUAAGUAAUGUGAAUUGCAGAAUUCAGUGAAUCAUCGAAUCUUUGAACGCACAUUGCGCCCGCCAGUAUUCUGGCGGGCAUGCCUGUUCGAGCGUCAUUUCAACCCUCAAGCCCUCGGGUUUGGUGUUGGGGAUCGGCGAGCCCUUGCGGCAAGCCGGCCCCGAAAUCUAGUGGCGGUCUCGCUGCAGCUUCCAUUGCGUAGUAGUAAAACCCUCGCAACUGGUACGCGGCGCGGCCAAGCCGUUAAACCCCCAACUUCUGAAUGUUGACCUCGGAUCAGGUAGGAAUACCCGCUGAACUUAAGCAUAUCAA